rnacentral:rRNA from 1 species
GACGAACGCUGGCGGCGUGCUUAACACAUGCAAGUCGAACGAUGAACCCGGAGCUUGCUCUGGGGGAUUAGUGGCGAACGGGUGAGUAACACGUGAGUAACCUGCCCUGGACUCUGGGAUAAGCGUUGGAAACGACGUCUAAUACCGGAUAGGACCUUGGGUCGCAUGAUCUGGGGUGGAAAGUUUUUUCGGUCUGGGAUGGACUCGCGGCCUAUCAGCUUGUUGGUGAGGUAAUGGCUCACCAAGGCGUCGACGGGUAGCCGGCCUGAGAGGGUGACCGGCCAAAUGGGGACUGAGACAGGGCCCGGCCUCCCACGGGGGGCGGCAGUGGGGAAUAUUGCACAGUGGGCGAAAGCCGGGGGCAGCAACGCCGGGGGGGGGAUGACGGCCUUCGGGUUGUAAACCCCUUUUAGGAGGGAAAAAGGGCUUCGGCUUGCGGGUACCUGCAAAAAAAGGACCGGCAAACUACGU